GGUGAACGCUGGCGGCGUGCUUAACACAUGCAAGUCGAGCGGAAAGGCCCUUUCGGGGGUACUCGAGCGGCGAACGGGUGAGUAACACGUGAGUAAUCUGCCCUUGGCUUUGGGAUAGAUUCGGGAAACCGAAAUUAAUACCGGAUAUGACCACUCCAGGCAUCUGGUGGUGGUGGAAAGUUUUUUCGGCCAGGGAUGUGCUCGCGGCCUAUCAGCUUGUUGGUGGGGUAAUGGCCUACCAAGGCUUCGACGGGUAGCCGGCCAGAGAGGGUGACCGGCCAGACUGGGCCUGAAACACGGCACAGACUCCUCCGGGAGGCAGCAGUGGGGAUAAUGGACAAUGGGCGGAAGGCUGAUCCAGCAACGCCGCGUGAGGGAUGACGGCCUUCGGGUUGUAAACCUCUUUCGCCACCGACGAAGCGCAAGUGACGGUAGGUGGGGAAGAAGCACCGGCCAACUACGUGCCAGCCGCCGCGGUAAUAC
rnacentral:rRNA from 1 species